rnacentral:rRNA from 1 species
UACGAAGGGGGCUAGCGUUGCUCGGAAUCACUGGGCGUAAAGCGCACGUAGGCGGAUUGUUAAGUCAGGGGUGAAAUCCUGGAGCUCAACUCCAGAACUGCACUUGAUACUGCCUUGCUCGAGUACUGGAGAGGAGAUUGGAAUUUACGGUGUAGCAGUGAAAUGCGUAGAUAUCGUAAGGAAGACCAGUGGCGAAGGCGAAUCUCUGGACAGUUACUGACACUGAGGCACGAAGGCCAGGGGAGCAAACGGG